rnacentral:rRNA from 1 species
GCAAAUUGCGGGGAUGAGCCGGGCGGGGGAGUGAAAGUCUAAUCAAACGUGGAGAUAGCACGUUCUCUCUGAAAUAACUUUAGGGUUAGCGUCGGGCUAGUUGGUGGCGGGGGUAGAGCGACUGAUUCCGAACGGGGGCCUACCCGGCUACCCGUCGGAGCCAAACUCCGAAUACCGCCAUACAAGGCCCGGCAGCUAGGCUCUGGGGGACAAUCUCCAGGGCCGAGAGGGGAACAGCCCGGACCGCCCGCUAAGGCCCCCGAGUGGCGCUCAGUGCGUAAGGAGGUCGAACCCCGAUGACAGCCGGGAUGUUGGCUUAGAAGCAGCCACCAUUUAAAAAGUGCGUAAUAGCUUACCGGUCGAGGGGUUCCGCGCCGAUAAUGAACGGGACUCAAGCGUCACGCCGAAGCGGCGGGUGUGGAGUUUACUCCACGCGGUAGGAGAGCGUUGCACGUGCGGCGAAGCGAUACGGACAACGGGUCGUGGAGCGCGUGCAAGUGAUUAUGCCGGAACGAGUAGACGAUAAGACGGGUGAGAAUCCCGUCCGCCGUAAGCCCAAGGGUUCCUGGGGAAGGUAAAUCCGCCCAGGGUCAGCCGGUGCCUAACCCGAGGCCGAGAGGCGUAGGGGAUGGGGAGCAGGUUAAUACUCCUGCGCUCCCGUGCGGUUUAACCCGGUGGGGGAAGGGUGUAGGCUUAUCAGAUUGCCUCAGGGCGACUAAGACCCCGAUAUCCCGGACCCCGCCGGCAAGAAGUGCCGCGCGGAAACCGUACCAAAACCGACACAGGUGGGUGGGAUGAGUAUUCCAAGGCGCUCGAGAGAACUCUCGUGAAGGGACUCUGCAAAUUGGCCCCGUAACUUCGGGAUAAGGGGCGCUCACCUCCGGGUGAGCCGCAGCGAAAAGGGUCUAGCGACUGUUUACUAAAAACACAGGUCUGUGCGAAGGCGUGAGCCGCGGUAUACAGACUGACGCCUGCCCGGUGCCGGUAAGUUAAGGGAGGCGGUUAGCCGGGGUAACCCGGUAAAGCUGGCGACCGAAGCUCCGGUAAACGGCGGCCGUAACUAUGACGGUCCUAAGGUAGCGAAGUUCCUUGUCGGGUAAGUUCCGACCUGCAUGAAUGGCGUAACGACUGGACCACUGUCUCCACGAGAGACUCGGUGAAACUGUAGUUGUCGUGAAGAUGCGACAUACCCGCAGCUAGACGGAAAGACCCCGUGAACCUUAACUGCAGCUUGGUAUUGGGUUUAGGCCCGGCAUGCGUAGCGUAGGUGGGAGGCCGUGAACCCCGGUUUUCGGACCGGGGGGAGCCGUCGAUGAAACACCACCCUUGCCGUGCUUGAAUUCUAACCCGGACCGGUGAACCCCGGCCGGGGACCGUGCUAAGUGGGCAGUUUGAUUGGGGCGAUCUCCUCCUAAACGGUAACGGAGGAGCCCAACGGUCCCUUCAGCCCG